GACGUAGGGCGCGAGCGUUGUCCGGAUUUAUUGGGCGUAAAGAGCUCGUAGGCGGCUUGUCGCGUCGUCCGUGAAAACCCACAGCUCAACUGUGGGCUUGCGGUCGAUACGGGCAGGCUAGAGUUCGGUAGGGGAGACUGGAAUUCCUGGUGUAGCGGUGAAAUGCGCAGAUAUCAGGAGGAACACCGGUGGCGAAGGCGGGUCUCUGGGCCACUACUGACGCUGAGGAGCGAAAGCGUGGGGAGCAAACAGG
rnacentral:rRNA from 1 species